rnacentral:rRNA from 1 species
UACAGAGGGUGCAAGCGUUAAUCGGAAUUACUGGGCGUAAAGCGUGCGUAGUCGGUUAUUUAAGUCGGGCGUGAAAGCCCCGGGCUCAACCUGGGAAUCGCGUUCGAUACUGGAUAGCUAGAGUUCGGCAGAGGGAAGCGGAAUUUCGGGUGUAGCGGUGAAAUGCGUAGAUAUCCGAAGGAACAUCAGUGGCGAAAGCGGCUUCCUGGACCAGAACUGACGAUCAGGCACGAAAGCGUGGGGAGCAAACAGG